AAGGCAGACCGCACGCGCAAUCGGGGCAGCUAGCCAGAGCCACGAUGCACGCGCCUCCGCCGCCGCGUUGAUAGGCUGCCGCCGUCUUGUGCGCCGGCACCGCUACCUGCUGAUCCCGCUCCAUUGUCACGCACCUCUGCCGCUCUCCUGCCGCAGCCCGCGUCGCGCCGUCCCCCGGCCUGCUCCUGCAAUCCGGCCUCGCACCUGCCCCGGCGGCCCUGUCCCGGCGGCAGCCGCCGCGCUGCAGGCUUGUCACCCCCGAUUCAGUGUGUUUUGGCCUUCUGUAGAUUAUUCUCGUCAGAACCAUGCUGCUGGAGAUUUUUGGAUCUGGAAUGAGACUAACACGGAAUAAUGACUGGGUUCUAAGAUUGCUCUUUGUUGACCGAUCUGCUUAUGCAUCCUUUGUCCUGGCAAGCAACAUUGCAGUAAAAGGAGUGAAUAACUGGGGCAGGCCAAAUUGGCUCCGCGUCCUCCCUUGUGCCAGUAAUUAUUUCUGCACCUCCAUCUAUGCCACCAAAGGCAAACAAUUUGCCAUCACCAAGGGGAUGAACAGAUCAGAGAUGAAGGGGCGAACGAAGCAAUUCCUUGUUGGGCAUGCCUCUUAUCCUGUAUUUGAAGCCAACAUCCUUAAGAAAACCACCCAUCGGGAUGGUUCUAUAUACAAGAUAAACUAUGGUUUUCUAAAGCUAUGGCGUCUUACUCAACGUGAUGAGAUACAUAGUUAGGUCAUCUAUUUUGGAGAUGACCGGCCCUAAGCGAGGAAUCACAAUGGUAGCCCCUGUUCUAGUUGAGUUUGACAUGAGGAUUAAGAAAGGAAAGCAAGAAGAUGAUCUACAACUAAUUGAUGGUGCAAUGGAGUACAACGAUCUAGUCACACCUGAGUAGCCAUUCACGGAUCGGAUUAAUGGCGAUUGUGGCGCGGUUGACAUCACUUUAGCCCUCGUUCGUUGGGCAUUUGAGGCCACAAUAGAUGUUGUCAUAUCAAAAGUGCAGUGUGGAUUUGAUUUAUCUCUCAGUUCGUGUGUUCCCCUUAUGGAUGGUUUACAUGAGAUCCAACUCUUUCGUGGCAGUAUUGGUGAGUCGUGUGGCUUGAGAAGACAUGUGGUUGCUGUAAAGGAGAAUACUUUGAUGCAUUUGAAGUUCAAAGUAGGACAAAAUAGUUGUAAAAAUGAUCUUGAUCACCAUUGUUCCUUCAAAGCGAAAAAACAUGGGUACGACUAUCAGCAAAUCAUGCUUGAGCUUGCCUCUAUCUCAGUGAAGGUAACUUGGUCGAACUUGCAAAAGUAAAUCAAUUGUUUCAUAUUCGAACUUUGGUUGCAAAGUUGAAAGUACGUGUGUUGCCAUAGAAAACAAAUAAAUGGCUCCACAAAAAAAUGUGUAUGCUGAUCUAAAACGUCUUAUAUUUGUUUACAGUGGAGUAUUUAUUAUUCA